UCUUGCUUUGCUUGGUUUACGACCAUUAUACUAUUACAUUCAGCCCAUAAUCUGAUGUCAAUGUUCAGACUUAUUAAAAGUUAAGCCUUUUAGUGUAAUGGCUACUUACAAUAGCCGCUUAUGGUAAUUACUGGCGCCACACACAGUUCAGCUAGAAUUAUUACCUUAAAGCAAAUAUUCUUCUCUAUUGUUGGCAGAGAUGGCCUAGUUGGCAGUGCUACCAUACACCAUGACUUUGACCACUAUAGAUGGACCUGACGAAUCAUCAUGCUAUGCCAACAAUUUCAAGCUCCUUCAAAGGCUUCUCUGAUGACUUCCUGCUGUCGACAGGUUACCUUCCAUUGGGGUAGUCACAAU